GGAAAAAAGAUCUGCAAAUGAUUUUGAUCAAAUUGGAACACGCUGCACCAGAAACAAUACAUUUUUACUAUUCAUGAUUAUUUUGUAUCUUGUUCGGGCAAGUAUAAUUAUUAUUCCAUACAAUUAUGUUACCUUCCAUAUACUAACUUUUUGAUGAACAUUUUGUUGUGUGACUUCAUUAGUUGCAUUGUUUGAUUGCAUCAU